rnacentral:rRNA from 1 species
CAGUCGCCACGGUAAUACGAAGGGUGCAAGCGUUAAUCGGAAUUACUGGGCGUAAAGCGUGCGUAGGCGGUGAGUUAAGUCUGCUGUGAAAUCCCCGGGCUCAACCUGGGAAUGGCAGUGGAUACUGGCUCGCUAGAGUGUGUCAGAGGAUGGUGGAAUUCCCGGUGUAGCGGUGAAAUGCGUAGAUAUGCGGAGGAACACCGAUGGCGAAGGCAGCCCCCUGGGCCAACACUGACGCUCAUGCACGAAAGCGUGGGGAGCAAGCAGGAUUAGAUACCCCUGUAGUCCCUGUCUCUUAUAC